rnacentral:lncRNA from 1 species
AUCAUCCAUAAAAAUUUCACAAAUUAUUUAUUCUUUCAUUUGACCAAUUUUUUCUCCAUUUUGUACAUCAAUACACCACACAGUAAAGGUUAAAUGCUGACUGGGAAUUUAUUUUUGAAAAAAAAGUAAAAAAUCAAAAAUAAUUGUACUUAUAUUUGUUUCAGGUUUGAAUUAUUUGAUAACUAGAUUCUAACUCUAAAACAACCUUUUCAAUAUUAUUCUUGUACCAUUCCUUAUUACAAUGCAAAAGUGCACAUAGUGAAAUGAAUAUGUUUAAAAAAUAUUUCUUUAAAAUAAUUUGAAUUGGAUUUGGUCAUUUGCCAAGCUUAUGAAAGCCCUCUCCACAAUAUUAAUGUUAAAAUUCUUUAAAAAAAAAAGUUUUACCAUAAGGAUCACAAUAACUUUACAGUAUCUAUGAUCUUAGAAAUGAGGUCAAGGUCAGAUGAUUGCUGCCAUAAAGACAUGUACGUCAUUCAACAAGUUUAUAUUGAAAACAUCAGCAAAUCAGAAAAUCGAUGACUAGUGGUAUAAAAAGCAGAUAUACUGUUAUAAUGUGUGCUGCAUCACCUGAAGUUUUGAAACCUUGCCUUAGCUGUGUUUUUAAUUAACACCUGGCUAUUAUUAUCACAAGCUCAGAACUAAUAUUAGGAAGAAAUUAAAAUUCCAUAACAACUGUCUUCAUUAUUUUAUUACUUUUCAGCUAAGACUAUUGUCAUUAUGAUUUAAAACUUGAUUUAAUGUACUUAGAAAAAAAGUGAUUUUCCACUACUAACACACAUGUUUUGUUUGCUAUGAAAUACGCAUUCUUUAAAUUCUCUUCUGCAGAUUAGACACUAAAUCGUAAAUUUAAAAUAAUUUUAUGCCAAAUAAACCAAGUGCAACCACUAUCCUUAAUAUUCAAACACUACAAAAUGUAGAAAAGCCGAUGAUUUCCUGUGAAUUUGAUAAGCAAAACAAAUCCCAGAAAUGAGUUCGGAAUUGUUUGUUUUAGUAUUGUCACAAAACAUCCGGUUUGAAUUUUGACUUGUAAAUCAAAAGAAACGUUAGCAAUGACUGAGAAAAUUAUUGUUUUGAGUCAUUAUUUUUAAACUGAUGCCUUCCCUUAAUUGUUCUUGAAUGAAUUUAAGAAGUUGGUAGAAAAAAAUCAUGAAGUAAAUGCAAUGCAACAGUUAAACAAGUUUGUUGAUGCUACUAGUAUGAGCAUACUCGUGCAGUAAUGUGAUUUUGACAAUCUUUUUUUGA